rnacentral:lncRNA from 1 species
CACAGGCAGUCUCCUAGACUACUAGCCAUGGCAGCAUGCCCGCCAGCAGGGUGCCAGGCACCCAUAGCUUUCCUAGGUCUAAAAUUCUCUUCCCUAGGCCAGGCUAGAAAAAACCCUGCACUUUGCUUCCUGUAUGAUCAAAGUAACUCCAAAUGCAAUACCAGCUGGGUCAAAGAAAAUGUAGGCUGUCCGUGGCACUGGUGCAAUAUCCAUGAGGCAUUAAUUCGUACUGAAAAAGGAUCUGACCCAAUGUUCUAUGUCAGUACCUCCACUGGAGGAUGGGACGGCUUUAACGGAUUUAACCUCCAAAUCUCUGACCCUUAGGACCCCCGCUGGGCCUCUGGUGUAGAUGGAGGACUAUAUGAGCACAGAACUUUUAUGUAUCCAGUAGCUAAGAUCCGCAUUGCCAGGACCCUUAAAACCACUGUCACAGGGUUAUCCGACUUAGCCUCCUCAAUCCAGUCAGCCGAGAAAGAGCUUGCCAGCCAGCUUCAACCGGCAGCUGACCAGGCCAAGUCCUCCCCCUUCUCGUGGUUUUUAAUUUCAGAAGGUGCACAAUUGCUCCAAUCCACAGGGGUACAAAACCUCUCCCACUGCUUCCUCUGUGCAGCCCUCGGAAGACCUCCCUUAGUAGCAGUUCCUCUCCCUACCCCCUUUAAUUAUACAAGAAAUUCAUCCACCCCUAUACCACCGGUCCCAAAAGGACAGGUCCCACUAUUCUCAGACCCUACAAGACACAAGUUCCCGUUCUGUUACUCUACCCCAAAUGCCUCUUGGUGUAACCAGACCAGGAUGCUUACCAGCGCCCUGGCACCACCCGGAGGCUACUUCUGGUGUAACUCCACACUAACUAAAGUUCUUAACUCAACUGGUAAUCACACCUUGUGCUUACUCGUCUCUCUCAUCCCUAGCCUGACCCUAUAUAGUCAGGACGAACUUAGCCAUCUGCUAGCCUGGACCGAGCCAAGGCUGCAAAAUAAAAGCAAACGGGCUAUUUUCCUACCCUUAGUACUAGGCAUCUCCUUAGCCUCCUCCUUAGUGGCAUCAGGGCUAGGAAAAGGAGCCCUCACCCACUCAAUCCAAACAUCUCAAGAUCUGUCUACUCGCCUGCAGUUGGCCAUUGAGGCAUCGGCCGAGUCCCUGGCCUCCCUACAGCGACAGAUCACUUCGGUAGCACAGGUCGCAGCACAGAACAGGCGGGCCUUAGACUUGCUUACAGCAGAAAAAGGAGGGACAUGUUUAUUCUUACAGGAAGAAUGCUGCUAUUAUCUCAACGUGUCAGGGGUAGUUGAGACCAAUUUACAAACUUUAAAAAAAAAAGAUCCAAGAGGAGUUAAAACAUUCCUAGGACCCUCUCCACCCUGGUCCUUCUUGGUGGUUUUCACCUGUGGUUCAACAGAUGCUCCCUUUCCUUAUCCCAAUUAUAAUUCUCUGUAUAAUAAUGUGUUUUGCCCCAAUCCUAGUACAGUUUCUCCGCCAGCGGAUACAAGAAAUCACCAGGGUCACUUUCAACCAGAUGUUACUUCACCCCUACGUCCAACUGCCAACCUCUGAUUUAGGCCCUCUCCCCAGUGACACCCCUUAACAGCAGGAAGUAGCCAGA